rnacentral:rRNA from 2 species
GACUGGGAUAACUAUUGGAAACAAUAGCUAAUACCGGAUAUAGUUAUUUAUCGCAUGAUGAGUAAUAGAAAGGAGCUUCACAGCUUCACUUAAAAAUGGGGGUGCGGAACAUUAGUUAGUUGGUAGGGUAAUGGCCUACCAAGACGAUGAUGUUUAGCCGGGCCGAGAGGCUGUACGGCCACACUGGGACUGAGAUACGGCCCAGACUCCUACGGGAGGCAGCAGUAAGGAAUUUUCCACAAUGAGCGAAAGCUUGAUGGAGCGACACAGCGUGCAGGAUGAAGUUCUUCGGAAUGUAAACUGCUGUUAUAAGGGAAGAAAAAAUAGAAUAGGAAAUGAUUUUAUCUUGACGGUACCUUAUUAGAAAGCGACGGCAAACUAUGUGCCAGCAGCCGCGGUAAUACAUAGGUCGCAAGCGUUAUCCGGAAUUAUUGGGCGUAAAGCGUCCGUAGGUUUUUUGCUAAGUCUGGAGUUAAAUGCUGAAGCUCAACUUCAGUCCGCUUUGGAUACUGGCAAAAUAGAAUUAUAAAGAGGUUAGCGGAAUUCCUAGUGAAGCGGUGGAAUGCGUAGAUAUUAGGAAGAACACCAAUAGGCGAAGGCAGCUAACUGGUUAUAUAUUGACACUAAGGGACGAAAGCGUGGGGAGCAAACAGGAUUAGAUACCCUGGUAGUCCACGCCGUAAACGAUGAUCAUUAGUUGGUGGAAUAAUUUCACUAACGCAGCUAC